CCCAGCUCUGCUUUCCACACACUGUGCUGUCGUUGCUUGUGUGCCGCUGGUGGGUGCCGUGCCGGGGGGGGGCGCUGAUUAACUGUGAUAAGGUUGUGCUUAUCACAGGAUACGACAGAAGGAGUCUUCCUGGCGCCCAGCACACUCCCCUGUCAGGGGCAGCGGGGCGGGGCUGCUGCUUGGGAUGAAGGUGCCAGACGCCUGCAGGGACACGGACGGCCACAGGGGGCGCCGAAGAGCGCUGCCCUGCCCUGAUCCGGGGUCGGCAUCAGAGAACCAGCCCCGCCCAGAGUCCCCUCAAAGGGAGCUGGAUGGUCUGGUGUGGGGAAGCGAGGUUGGAGCAGUGGACAGAAUGAGCCCCAGAAGACCAGAUGGAAGUGUUUUACCAUGGUGACGCAGCCAGCCACGCUCAGACUGGGGACUUCCUGGUCACCAGCUGCUCCAGCCACCUGUGACCUUUGAAGACGGGCCCUUGAAUGGGAACCGUUGUGCCCAGGUAGAGGUGUGGGAGAUGGUGGCGGUGGAGUGGAGCAGAGAGGCCGAGGAGGACAGGCGGGCCCCGAGGCACUCGAAGGUGUGUGGGUGCCAGGGCAGAACGCUUUGGGAAGCUGAUGUGCCAGUUAGCAGAACAGGUGGCAUCUCAGAGACCCCUGUGAAUUCAGUCAGGUGGCCCCGCUGGCCCUCCCACCCUGCUGUGUGGGCUGAGCUCUCCUGAUGCCUCCCACAGCUGACCAGUGCAGCCUUUCCCUUCUGGUCUCUUUGAGGGCAUGUUGGUCCCUGUGAAGUUGGCCUGGUGACCCUCCCGGCCCCA
rnacentral:lncRNA from 1 species